AUUGAACGCUGGCGGCAUGCCUUACACAUGCAAGUCGAACGGCAGCACGGGUGCUUGCACCUGGUGGCGAGUGGCGAACGGGUGAGUAAUACAUCGGAACAUGUCCUGUAGUGGGGGAUAGCCCGGCGAAAGCCGGAUUAAUACCGCAUACGAUCUACGGAUGAAAGCGGGGGACCUUCGGGCCUCGCGCUAUAGGGUUGGCCGAUGGCUGAUUAGCUAGUUGGUGGGGUAAAGGCCUACCAAGGCGACGAUCAGUAGCUGGUCUGAGAGGACGACCAGCCACACUGGGACUGAGACACGGCCCAGACUCCUACGGGAGGCAGCAGUGGGGAAUUUUGGACAAUGGGCGAAAGCCUGAUCCAGCAAUGCCGCGUGUGUGAAGAAGGCCUUCGGGUUGAAAAGCACUUUUGUCCGGAAAGAAAUCCUUGGCCCUAAUACGGUCGGGGGAUGACGGUACCGGAAGAAUAAGCACCGGCUAACUACGUG
rnacentral:rRNA from 1 species